UACCAGCACCCCGAGUGGUCGGGACGAUUAUUGGGCCUAAAGCAUCCGUAGCCGGUUCUACAAGUCUUCCGUUAAAUCCACCUGCUUAACAGAUGGGCUGCGGAGGAUACUAUAGAGCUAGGAGGCGGGAGAGGCAAGCGGUACUUAGUGGGUAGGGGUAAAAUCCGUUGAUCCAUUGAAGACCACCAGUGGCGAAGGCGGCUUGCCAGAACGCACUC
rnacentral:rRNA from 1 species